rnacentral:rRNA from 1 species
AUUGAACGCUGGCGGCAGGCCUAACACAUGCAAGUCGAGCGAGCGGCGGACGGGUGAGUAAUGUAUGGGGACCUGCCCUAUAGAGGGGGAUAACUACUGGAAACGGUGGCUAAUACCGCAUACUAUCCGCUGAACCCUUGUGUGAUUAGCUAGUAGGUGGGGUAAAGGCUGACCUAGGCGCAGAUCUCUAGCUGGUCUGAGAGGAUGAUCGGCCACACUGGGACUGAGAAACGGCCCAGACUCCUACGGGAGGCAGCAGUGGGGAAUAUUGCACAAUGGGCGCAAGCCUGAUGCAGCCAUGCCGCGUGUAGGAAGAAGGCCUUAGGGUUGUAAAGUACUUUCAGCGGGGAGGCGUUACCCGCAGAAGAAGCACCGGCUAACUCCGUGCCAGCAGCCGCGGUAAUUC